ensembl:lncRNA
CCCACCCUAACCCCUAACCCUAACCCUAACCCUAACCCCACCCCUAACCCUAACCCUAACCCUAACCCUAACCCUAACCCUAACCCAACCCUAACCCCAAGUCUAACCCAACGUCUCAGAGUCUAGCUUACCUUCACACCUACCUGUUGCACUUAGCUUCAAGUGGGAUCUGUGUCCUGGUAAUGUUGAAUUAAAGCACACCACUGAAUUAGAUUGCACAAGUAUUUGUUUAUUACAGCACUGUUUCCUCAAGACAUGACUCGUACAAUUGUAUGCACACUACAGCAAUGCCUACAUGUUGACAAACAAAACAUGAAUACACGUACUCCAUACAAUUGCAAGACACCGUUUACAGGCGCAGCACCCACCUACUCCAUACAAUUCCAAGACACCGUUUACAGGCGCAGCACCCGCGUACUCCAUACAUUUUAAGGCAUGGUUUACAUAUAACGCAUAUGUCAGACUCACAAGACAAAGGUCACAAAGCCUCCAUAUCCAAUAAAUAACAUUACAUUUACACUAAUAUUGUGUACUGCAACCCACCUCAAGAGCAGAGCAGAUCUCAGCCCACCUGAAGUAAAUGCAAGCCUCAGACAGGCCGGGAAGGAGAGCAAAUGGGCUCCGUUGGUUAUGGGGUUGGGUUAGCCCUGCGGUACAAACAAACAUAGCAAAGCUAACCCAACCCCGUAAGCAAGGCAAAGCUAAAGCCAAUUUGGCUGAGAUCAAUUGAUUGCAAAGCUAAAGCCAAUUUGGGCAAGAUCAAUUGACUGCAUGCAAAAUGCCAUGCAAAUGGCAACUCUCAGAAUGGCCGCGCAAAGGGGCGCGAGUCUCAGACUGGCCGGGAAGGAGCGCAAAUGGGCUCCGAAGGCCUCGGGCGUUGGUUACGGGGUUGGGUUAGCCCUGCGGUACAAACAAACAAAGCAAAGCUAACCCAACCCCGUAAGCAAGGCAAAGCUAAAGCCAAUUUGGCUGAGAUCAAUUGAUUGCAAAGCUAAAGCCAAUUUGGCUGAGAUCAAUUGAUUGCAAAGCUAAAGCCAAUUUGGGCAAGAUCAAUUGACUGCACAUGCCAAAAUCGGCGCAACUCUCAGAAUGGCCGCAAAGGGGCGCGAGUCUCAGACUGGCCGGGAAGGAGCGCAAAUGGGC